rnacentral:rRNA from 1 species
UGGGGGAUAUUGCACAAUGGGCGAAAGCCUGAUGCAGCGACGCCGCGUGGGGGAUGAAGGCCUUCGGGUUGUAAACUUCUUUUGCUCUGAACAAGGCGCACCAUGGGGUGUGUUGAGUGUAGGGGUUGAUUAGCGCCGGCUAACUACGUGCCAGCAGCCGCGGUAAUACGUAGGGCGCGAGCGUUGUCCGGAAUUAUUGGGCGUAAAGGGCUUGUAGGUGGCUGGUUGCGUCUGUCGUGAAAGCUCAUGGCUUAACUGUGGGUUUGCGGUGGGUACGGGCUGGCUUGAGUGCAGUAGGGGAGGCUGGAAUUCCUGGUGUAGCGGUGGAAUGCGCAGAUAUCAGGAUGAAUACCGGUGGCGAAGGCGGGUCUCUGGGCUGUUACUGACACUGAGGAGCGAAAGCAUGGGGAGCGAACAGG